rnacentral:rRNA from 1 species
UAGGGAAUAUUGCACAAUGGGCGCAAGCCUGAUGCAGCCAUGCCGCGUGUAUGAAGAAGGCCUUCGGGUUGUAAAGUACUUUCAGCGGGGAGGAAGGGAGUAAAGUUAAUACCUUUGCUCAUUGACGUUACCCGCAGAAGAAGCACCGGCUAACUCCGUGCCAGCAGCCGCGGUAAUACGGAGGGUGCAAGCGUUAAUCGGAAUUACUGGGCGUAAAGCGCACGCAGGCGGUUUGUUAAGUCAGAUGUGAAAUCCCCGGGCUCAACCUGGGAACUGCAUCUGAUACUGGCAAGCUUGAGUCUCGUAGAGGGGGGUAGAAUUCCAGGUGUAGCGGUGAAAUGCGUAGAGAUCUGGAGGAAUACCGGUGGCGAAGGCGGCCCCCUGGACGAAGACUGACGCUCAGGUGCGAAAGCGUGGGGAGCAAACAGG